GAAGAUAUGCAAGAGGCAAAGAAAUCUAUGAAAGAAAAAGGUAUUAAAGCUGAAGGUGUUAAGAAUUUACCUCCUAUUGAAGAAAUUCAUGGUCUUGAUAACCUGACACAGGUAGUAAAGGUAAAUUCUCUCUAUAGAUAUGAUAAAGAUAAAAUCCCUCCUACUAAGUUUGCUAGCCAGUGCCUAGAUGAGUUUGAUAACUUUAUGGUUAAGCAAGAAGAUUUUAAUGCUUAUGUUGGUAGACAAUUGAAACAUAAUACUUAUAUGAUUGAACACUUGAGUGAUUAUAUGGCUAAUGUUAAAGGUGAACUAAAACUUAUUAGUAAACAUGCUUCUAUGGUUACCACUCAAGUAGAACAGGUACUUAAAGCUCAGAAUGAUUUGCUCAAUGAAUUAAAUAGUAAGAAGAAUGAUAAUGUUGUUAGAGUUAUGACUAGAGGU
rnacentral:rRNA from 1 species